UCUCAACAGGGGAAGGGUUAGUGAUUUUUUUGUUAGCACUUCGUUGGCAAUGUUGAAGAGCCGUUCCACCGAAGCGCUCGAGGUUACUGCUGUGUUGUACUUGAGGAAAAGUUCAAUCCCUCGAAGUUCUUCAUCUGCGACAGAGGGUGGUCAACUGGUACUAGCAAGUACCGCGACAGCUCAUGCUGUGCCUCGGCUGGAAGGGUUCAGUGCCCGUGAGGACUUUCCGUCCGCCGCGACGUCCCUCGAGUGGCGCUGCGAUCCUGACGUCAUGGUUGCAGGCCAACAUGGAGGAAAGAAACUGCAGGAGGGAGCGUCACGUGACAAUCUUGAAGUCUAGUAAUAAAAAGUACAACGGAGAACUCAUGAAAAAAUAUGCCCCGCAGUCACGUGACAGGCAAAAGGUAGUUCUUUUGUGCCUCACGUGGUCGCCCAUCCACCCUGCGUGAUGUGCUGCGUACAUGCGUGCGUCUGUUCAAUGCUGUGGAAUGUUUACAGAAGGAAUGCCGUUCCCUCUGCCGUUCAUUCGUAAACGUAACGAGUUACCGUUACAGUUCCACCAAUCCUUAAUGGAACAGUGGCGUUCCUCCGUUCCUCCCAAAAGGAACUAGUUCCAGGAACGCCAUUCUGUACAACACUGUGCAUCACUGACUUAAUGUCUGUUAGGUGGUUAGGUUAGGUCUAGUGGGGACAGAAGACAAAAACAUUCGUGUACUGUGCAUUGGGUAUGCAUUAGGGAACCUCAGGUGGUAAAAAUUAAAGCGGAAUCCCCCACUAUUGUGUGCCUCGUAAUCCGAUUGUGGUUUUGGCCCUAGAAUUUAAUUAAUUAAUCCUCUUACAGAGUUGGGUACAUGUGCACAGCCAAGGCUUCUCCACGUGGAUAGUAGUUCUGGAGUGUCCACAUUGGGCAACAGUAAAGCAGAUGGGGACAGAAGGAAGCAACAUGUCCAUUGCAGCACGCACACCACUGUGCUCAUCGCAUUGGCAAAAGCUGCGCAGACAGAGGCCUCAUGGCUGACCAAGGCCAGUGUGGAUGUUGCAGUUGGAACGUCGGAAAUCGGUUGUAAAGAUGUGUGCACGUCAACCUAAUUGGAUAUUGCCUGCCAAUGUGAAGGUGCACUGAUAGACAAAAGCCAUGGAUCUUGGAGACUUUCAGCGCAGUGCCUCUAAGUCUCUAGAACUGUCUAGUCUGCAGAAGUUUAAGGAGAGCUUAUGACAAAGUGUAACAAGACAUAAUUGUGCCAGCGACAAUUAUGUGGAGGAAACCAAGGCCGGUCCUCAAGAAUCAGUUUCUCUGAAGCCACUUAUCUGACAUGUGCAAGCCAUUGCAACGAGCUGACCUUCAGAAACAUAAUGCCCUAGAGGGGUUCUCAGAGGAGAACAUGGCUACCUGGUUUAUUGUGCUCGUGCUUCAGUUCUGCAUCACUGUUGACUCGAGCAAGGCAAUGAAAUAUCACCUUGCUAAGAUGCACCAAACCGAUGGCCUGUUCAUGUGACAACGCUGCUGCCACCUGGCCCUCGGCUAUUGCAUCACAUCAAGGCUGAUCAGUCAUGGUGAAGAUGUCGGAGAGCCUGCAAGUUAAGUUAGCCGACUCAAAAUUGGCUUCUUUUUUUGUAUGUGCACGGCUUGAAACCGGUGGAAAGGUAGGCAAACAUUUGUCCUUAUGCUCCAGAUUUUCCUUGAGCGAGUGCGACAUUUCAUAGUCAAGCUCAGUAAUACUCGUGCUUCUAGCAGCUUCAUUUCUUGUGAUAAAAACUGGACAUGCUCAUUUUGUGUAUAUAUCAUGUGUAUAUAUAGGUUCACAAGUCUUGCAAGACCGAGUACCUCGAAAAGUCGCGAAUGUUUUUUUUUUUUUGUACUUACCAUUAUAUUUAUGCACUAGGAUUCAUUUGUGGACAUCUUUCUGAAGUGCUCGAUGCUCAAGGAUGUCUUUCGAGUGUGCAUAUCUUUAAUGUUAUAUUCUGCACUGGCAAGAGCGCACUGCCUUUGUUACGUUUACUCCUUUUGCAAGGAAUGCAUAAAGUAAUUUAGAAACAACUUUUGAACACUGUAGUCGUUUUCAUACUGUGGAUUUAUACUGCCAUGUAUAUUUCUAUUUAUGCAGCGUUAAUAAACUUGAAGCCAUGUGGGAUUGCAAUGAAAUAAAGUUGUGUUGGCUUGGAA